rnacentral:rRNA from 1 species
UACGUAGGGUGCAAGCGUUAAUCGGAAUUACUGGGCGUAAAGCGUGCGCAGGCGGUUUUGUAAGUCUGAUGUGAAAUCCCCGGGCUCAACCUGGGAAUUGUAUUGGAGACUGCAAGGCUAGAAUCUGGCAGAGGGGGGUAGAAUUCCACGUGUAGCAGUGAAAUGCGUAGAGAUGUGGAGGAACACCGAUGGCGAAGGCAGCCCCCUGGGUCAAGAUUGACGCUCAUGCACGAAAGCGUGGGGAGCAAACAGG